CGUAGGUUGCGAGCGUUAUUCGGAUUUACUGGGCGUAAAGAGCACCGAGGUGGCUUCUUAAGUUGGAUGUAAAAUCUCCUGGCUUAACUGGGAGGCGCCAUUCAAUACUGAGGAGCUUGAGGUCAGCAGGGGAAGGUGGAAUUCCCGGUGUAGUGGUGGAAUGCGUAGAGAUCGGGAGGAACACCAGUGGCGAAAGCGACCUUCUGGGCUGCACCUGACACUCUAGUGCGAAAGCGUGGGGAGCAAACAGGAUUAGAUACCCUGGUAGUCCACGCCCUAAACGAUGGAUACUAGGUGUGGGAGGUAUUGACCCCUUCCGUGCCGAAGCCAACGCGUUAAGUAUCCCGCCUGGGGACUACGGCCGCAAGGUUA
rnacentral:rRNA from 1 species